rnacentral:tRNA from 1 species
UAAGUAUUUAGUAUAAGUUUAAUAUAUUUAUUUGCAGAAUAAGAGAUACGAUUUAAGGUAAUAUUUU